CGGGGUGUGGCGCAGUCUGGUAGCGCGCUACGUUCGGGACGUAGAAGUCGGAGGUUCGAAUCCUCUCACCCCGACCA
rnacentral:tRNA from 1 species